rnacentral:rRNA from 1 species
UACGAAGGGGGCUAGCGUUGCUCGGAAUUACUGGGCGUAAAGGGCGCGUAGGCGGCACUGUUAGUCAGGCGUGAAAUCCCGGGGCUCAACCUCGGAACUGCCUUUGAUACUGCGGGUCUUGAGUCCGAUAGAGGUGGGUGGAAUUCCUAGUGUAGAGGUGAAAUUCGUAGAUAUUAGGAAGAACACCGGUGGCGAAGGCGGCCCACUGGAUCGGUACUGACGCUGAGGUGCGAAAGCGUGGGGAGCAAACAGG